GCUGAAACAUCGAUUCCUGUACGAUCACUGAAGUUAAGUAAGGUCGAACCUGGUCAAUACUUAGAUGGGUGACCGGUUGGGAAUACCACGUGCUGUAAG